CAAGAAACGACUGGUUCACAGUGACAAAACAGCAGGGGAACAUAUAGAUUACUGUCGUUUUCUGGAUUUUGUUCGUGUGUAGACAGUCUUUGUUUGUUCUAUGAUGAAAGUAAUCUGCAAAUGACUUCGAGCGAAGAGCGCCUGUGCAGACCGCGCGGAAGAGGCGAGCGGCCAAUGCACCGGAGCACCCUGACUCUCGGCGACCGCAACACAUGCUUUUACUCUACAACACAUACAGAGAGUUUUUCUAGAAGAGGACAUGAUGGUCAAGCACUGAUCUUUCCACACCGAAAUCCAUGUUAUCCCUCUCAGCAUAAUGGAAAGCUGGACCUCAAAAACAUCCCUGUGACACAAGGACAGACACACUCCAGAGAUGAAUAUGGCCCAAAGAGAUCAUACCACAUUACGUCCUACAUCAAGCAGGGCUACGGAACAGAAGACAGAACCGCCAGGGCUUUGUGAUGAAAGAAGUCACCAACCCCACUGAGCCCACACCAUACCAGAGCACAUAUCACACAGCACACUGCAGCAGAUACCAAACAAAUGAAGACACCAGUGGACGGCCAGUCUAUUGGCACAGCCAUAACAUUAUCACAGGACAGGAGGAGGCUGCAGCUGGGCCUGGGAGACCCAGAAGACAGUCUGGCGAGAGUGUUUUGUGGGAAGCUCGACGUUGGGAGACACAUCACGACUCGUUACGUUUGUACUAAACUGCUCAACUGCAACAUGAGACCAGUAAACAGUUAAUAAAUGUUCUCUAUUAUGCUGGUUAGCAGUCAAAUAUUACGAACAAACCUUCAAAAUUAGGUCUCUGUGGAGAAAAAAAAAAAACAUUUAAAAUAAGCAUGAGCAAAUAAUUGGUUUGUUACAUUUCUAUAAAUUAUAUAAAAAUUAAAUUUGGGUUAUUUUUAUUUAUUUUAGUAUGAUUUAUACACCGAAUGAGCCACAACAUAUGACCACAUACCUAAUAUGAUGUUGGUCCUCUAUAAGUUUCUAAAACAGUCCCAAACACCGGCAAGACCCCUGAAGAUAGUCCUUUCAUAGUUGGCACCAAGAAACUGACAGCAGAUCCUUCAAGUUCUGCGAGUAUUGAGGUGAACAUUUUUGAGGUUGAUUUGUUGGGUUAAUAAACCCCACACACAGAUUCUCAAUUGGAGUGAGAUCUGGUGAAUUUGGAGGCCAGGGAAACAUCUUGAACUCUUGUGUUCUUCAAAGGGUUCCCACUUUCAUGAAGGGCAGAUUCAAGGACUAACAUUUGAAAUCAAGUACCAUUGUAAUUUACACCCCCAGUAAGUGUAGUGCCAUGUAUGUCCUUACCGUUCUUAACAUUUCACUUACACUUAAUUUAAAUGUGGGUAGGUUUUCCAGAGAUGUUUGUCGUUCAAAAGCAGCAGUUUCCUAAAUGUUGAUCAAAUUUGCGUUACUAGUCGUAGUUCUUGUACAGGAUUUAAAUUGUAAGAUUUAUGAAUUAAGAUUUUUUUUUUUUACAGCAGCACAGUACAAUUGUUGAACUAACACUAUCAACACAUUUAAUUUUAAAUUUAAUUCAAGCACUUUUAAGGACCUGUGUGUUUAAGCACUUUCCAGGCCUUGAGAUCCUAUGUUUGAAAUUCAAAUACUAAAGUGUAGGAAAUGGAAACCCAGUCUUCAACCCUUCCUCUGGGAAACCCCAUUACCAUUAUGAUCUUAAAAAUGUUUAGUGGGUAGCAAGUGUGAUAUUUUCGUCUCCAACACCCUGAACAUCACAAUCCCUCCACUACGUACCAUUAUCCUUCAGUGCAUGUUGGUGUAUUACCUCCGAUAUUUCUUUGGCAUUUUAGAAUGACCAAAACAACAUUUCAGAUAUUUUACAAUGUGUUCAGCUUGCUGGUUUAUCCAUUCACACACAUUUUUUAAUCACCACAUAAUCUUUUUUUUAUUGUGCAUACUGGAAUUUGUUCAGUAAAAGUGUUACCAUCAUAGUUUAUGCGCAUCUUUUCUUAUCACAUAAAAAGUUUAUUCUACUCAAUUUUCAACAUUUAUGCGCAUCUUGCCGUUUGCAUCAACUGUUUUAUCAUGUGCAUGUCCAAAAUGCAUGUGAAAUAGGUGGAUGGACACAUAGCUACUCUCACCUACCCACACUUUAACAUGUGCUAUUGUUAGGAGGUAAUAUAAUAUUCACCUCACCUGUGUCAAUAUUUGAGCUCAUCAUUGUAUAUUGCGUUUCCACUUGCACCACAAUAUUUGUCAGUUACCCAUAUGCCCGACCAUUAUAAACAUACUCGGUAAGUAAACAGCAUCAUGCAUUGCGUGAUAAACUACUAAGCGUUGUUCUGCCUACUUAUGCCAUCUAAACUAUAGAAAAUGUGCAUUUUACUCCACUAAAUCUUGUAGGAGGAAGCAGGAAAAAUUGUACUAGCUUGACAAACUGAAUAAAAAGGCUCUAUUCUGAUUGAUUUGUGAUAAUUUUGUCUUUAGUACUCUAAAAAUGUCUUUAUUUUCCCUAUUUGACUUAAUACAGGCCGAAACAUGACAAUAAUUGCAUUUAAAAAAAAAAAUACUGCUGUUGCAAAUGAUCAAGUUUAAUUUGAUAGGGACAUUUUUUACGUUGUGCUCUCCAACAUGUCUUACUGAUGGUACGUCAGGAAAACCAGCUAUACUGUUAUUAGAUUUCGAAAAUGUGCUUUUUCAUAAUUAUGUUUCUGAAACCUUUAGUUCAUUGAAAUAUUUACAUUUUGUUUUAUUUCAAUUAUAGUACUUUGAUAUUUGCUAAAACAACCUCAAAGUUUCACCUCUAAUAUUUAAACAUUUAUCAUCUAUUGUUUUUAAUAACUUCACAGAUUUGGUUACAAAAUCUAGUUUCAAAUCAGUUUAAUGCUUUAAAGAACACAAACAAAACGACAGGUAAAAUGACAUGGAGAGAAGACAAACUUAAGACAAGCUGAUAGAACACACAACAGAGAGGAAAUGAACGUGUAUAAAUAUAUACACACACACGCGCACACUCACACACACACACAACGAGAGGUUUUCAAUUGGAAAAUGGCUAGAGCUAGAGGACAGUAAUGAGGGUCCACACAGCACUAGUACAGCAGUAUGGGUCUAACGUCCCCUUCACAAACACUCCAGUUCAGGUUUUCCAGUGCAAUUUUCAGAACAGUGCAGAAAUGCAUGUUUCCAAGCCAUUCAUAGACAAAAAGGCUACAUUUCAUGAAUUCUGAUGAUGUGUUCUGUGCAUCUAAUUGGUUAAAGCAAAUAUUGGGCAGAUGCCUUGCAAAUUUAACAGAUUCAAAGAAAUUAAGCGCUCUAUAUUUUGCACAGACUUAUUAAAUGUGCUAUGACAUGCAAAUAUACAUGACUGUAAGAGCUGAAAUGAGUAUUUCAGCAUUGAAAAAAUAAAACACUUUUGAUGGAAAACAAAUGUAUACUUCAAACUGAAACCUAAAAACAAAGUUAUACGUGAACCUUAAGAGAUCUCUGCAUACAUUUAAGCUGUUCUCUAGAUGUUACUUAUCACUAUCAGCUUAGUUUCUGCAAAAGCUUUACGUUGGUCUGUGGAAAUUUGACGAUAAGCAGGGAAGAUGACCACAUUAAACUCAAAUUUGUCUG
ensembl:antisense